GAUGAACGCUAGCGGCAGGCUUAACACAUGCAAGUCGAGGGGUAUAGGUUUUCGGACCUAGAGACCGGCGCACGGGUGCGUAACGCGUAUGCAAUCUACCUUUCACAGAGGGAUAGCCCAGAGAAAUUUGGAUUAAUACCUCAUAGUAUAGCAGUUUCGCAUGAAACCACUAUUAAAGUUCCAACGGUGAAAGAUGAGCAUGCGUCCCAUUAGCUAGAUGGAAGGUAACCGCUUACCAUGGCUACGAUGGGUAGGGGUCCCUGAGGGGGAGAUCCCCCACACUGGUACUUAGACACGGACCAGACUCCUACGGGAGGCAGCAGUGAGGAAUAUUGGUCAAUGGACGCAAGGCUGAACCAGCCAUGCCGCGUGCAGGAUGACGGUCCUAUGGAUUGUAAACUGCUUUUGUACGAGAAGAAACAACAUUACGUGUAAUGUCUUGACGGUAUCGUAAGAAUAAGGAUCGGCUAACUCCGUGCCAGCCGCCGCCGUAACAC
rnacentral:rRNA from 1 species